rnacentral:rRNA from 1 species
AUAACAUUUGGAAACAGAUGCUAAUACCGCAUAGAUCCAAGAACCGCAUGGUUCUUGGCUGAAAGCCGGAGUAAGCUAUCGCUUUUGGAUGGACCCGCGGCGUAUUAGCUAGUUGGUGAGGUAACGGCUCACCAAGGCGAUGAUACGUAGCCGAACUGAGAGGUUGAUCGGCCACAUUGGGACUGAGACACGGCCCAAACUCCUACGGGAGGCAGCAGUAGGGAAUCUUCCACAAUGGACGCAAGUCUGAUGGAGCAACGCCGCGUGAGUGAAGAAGGCUUUCGGGUCGUAAAACUCUGUUGAUGGAGAAGAAUGGUCGGCAGAGUAACUGUUGCCGGCGUGACGGUAUCCAACCAGAAAGCCACGGCUAACUACGUGCCAGCAGCCGCGGUAAUACGUAGGUGGCAAGCGUUAUCCGGAUUUAUUGGGCGUAAAGCGAGCGCAGGCGGUUUUUUAAGUCUGAUGUGAAAGCCCUCGGCUUAACCGAGGAAGCGCAUCGGAAACUGGGAAACUUGAGUGCAGAAGAGGACAGUGGAACUCCAUGUGUAGCGGUGAAAUGCGUAGAUAUAUGGAAGAACACCAGUGGCGAAGGCGGCUGUCUGGUCUGUAACUGACGCUGAGGCUCGAAAGCAUGGGUAGCGAACAGGAUUAGAUACCCUGGUAGUCCAUGCCGUAAACGAUGAAUGCUAGGUGUUGGAGGGUUUCCGCCCUUC